rnacentral:sRNA from 1 species
CUUCCAUCCCCCACAUCUGUGUCGCUCACUAUGAUAGAUCAUAUAUACAUGAUGUAGGUCUUAUAAUACAGACAUAUCAGAAGAAAUAAAAAGGAAAAUAGGCGGGAAUCACUCUGUCGAUCAACGAAAACUUGCUGGGAGACGGAAGCAGCUCACUCGAAACGGGCCUUUUUCAAGCUGAUGCCGGAUGAGUAUCAGAGUAAUGGUGAAUGGAGGAAUCGUCUCGCCAUUUCAGAACGUCCUUAUGUAGCCUUUUCACCAAGACAUAUGCUCUGUUCCUGCCCCAGUCUGUAAACAUGGAGUGGCUUUACUGCUUGUCCCAGACCUUGGGCAGGGAUUUAUCCCAUCCUGCCAUUGGUCUGUCAGAUUUUGCGCUUUCGACCGAGAACUCGGCUAGAAGGUUGUCGGCGGAUACUUUUUCGAGUCAAACACCGCCUAGGUAGACAAAUGUAAGGUGAAUUUGGUUCUAGGAUCCUUUCUUCACCAGCAGGUUCCCUACUACUCAGAUCUACGCAGCCAAGAGAAUCCAACUAGUCGCUGAUCGCACCCUAAUGGAGAUCUACAUCGACGGAACCAAGCUUGUGGGUACCAUAUCAUUCCUCCCGAUUGAACCCUUUACGAUGUUGGAGGUUACCACAAAGGGAUUACAGCGGGGACGGCAGGUGAUUUAUGGGAUUUGGAAGUUGGAGGAUAUUUGGACGUCGUAAUGCUCGUGCAUGGAGGACGUCUGAAAUUUCAAAAGGGGUCUUGAAAGGGUCUUACAAUGGAGCCCAUGUAGGAUGAGAAUAUAAUGCAUGCAUGCAGUAUACGAUGUACGAUGAGUCUUGGAG